GUCCACGAAUAUAGUCCUUAGUGUGGACAGUGUGUUACUUGCCAAUUUUUGUUAUACCCCUUCCAAAUUUAUUUCUCCAUGUUUUAUGCUCAUAUAGCAAGUUGGGGGUUGAAAUGACACUGUAAAAAAAUUUGGGUCAUAAAUAUUAAUGUAAAGUAGUGAUUAGGUCCAGCUGAAAAAGGUCAGAAAUUAGCACUUCGGAAGCUGUCAAAAGAUUUCAAGACCCCCUUAACACAAAAUUGUCCAUAUUUUGAGUUAGAGCUGAUGAAGUUUUCUAUAAUUUUGAUAUAAUUUGUCCCAAAAGUAGUACAACACACUGUAAAAAUAUUAUUGAGAAAGCGCAGGUGGGAUUUUUUUAAUUUUCAUUUAUUGUCUAAAAGAAAUGCACUACGAAAUAACUGUGUACUCGGACCACA
rnacentral:lncRNA from 1 species